UGUAAACAUCCUACACUCUCAGCGGCGCCCUCUAGUAGCCGGGAGUGGGAUGUUUGCGCU
ensembl:miRNA